GCCGUGGCCGUGCACAGACCAAAAUCAGAACAAUAGAGAGGAUUAGCAUGGCCCCUGCACAAGGAUGACAUACACAUUUGUAAAGUGUGCCAUAGUUUU
ensembl:snRNA U6 U6 spliceosomal RNA